GUGCUCACUUCGGCAGCACGGAUACUAAAAUUGGAACGAUACAGAGAUUAGCAUGGCCCCUGCACAAGGAUGACAUGCAAAUUCGUGAAGCAUUCCAUAUUUUU
rnacentral:snRNA from 1 species